ensembl:lncRNA
CUUGUUGGAAAAUGUCCGUUCUCUAGGUCAGGGUUAUUCCUAAAGAGGCCUCCCCAGGAUACUAGGGCAUUAGCACAGCCACUGCAUCUUCCCCACUCAUGGGUCCUCUCAUGGCAGGCAGCUGUCUUCAUUGUCUUGGUGGCUGCUGGGAGAACAGGUGUCAGGCGUGUGGCAGCUGGGAGUUUAUCCCGGCACUUCGGAAGCCUCUUACCUUUGGCUGUGACUACAGGAGCAUUGCCUGUCACGUCCAUCUUCCAUGAAGGGAGCAGGGAAACGUGGAAGUGACUUGCUGCCAGCUGCAUUCUUGCUCGACUGUUCCAGCCAAUGUUUACCAUUACAUCGUAGAGCCCAGACUGAGUAAUGGAAGAAAAUGGACUUAGUAAAGGAAUGAGGGGAGGGGUAAGUUUGUAAAGUAAAAUGCUCCAGCUUAGCCAGGUACUAACGAGCCAAAGGAGUUUCCCAGGAGAGAGCAGAGCAUUCUGGGAGAGGAUCAGCAGGUGUACAGGUGUCACAGGCAUAGACCAUAUGUGUGAGAGAGUACACAUGUGUGGGUGGGGUGUGUGUGUGUGUGUAAAAACCCGUGUCUGUGAGAGAGGGAGAAUUAAGCCAGAUUUCAAAAGAUGAUGGCCAGUGGUUAGAGUCUGACUUUGUUCUGUAGGGAAGAGUGAGUCACAGGGACACCAUCAGGGGAACAUCGAUCAGGUUCGAGGUUUCAGCUUAUUGUGACAGUGAUGUUUCAGCCACGAGGGUGGUGAGGAAUUAGAAUGAAGAGAUUGUGUUAAUGGGAACAAGGGGAACAUGAGGUGGAUGGGGAUCAGGCAGAGAGCAAAGCUGCACAUUCAACCUGUAGAUUUGUAGGAACGAGAAACAGGGCCACUGAGGGCUUGGGAGUGAGGAUGUGACCCAUAGACUCCAUGAUGAAAGGCUGUGUAGGUUUUCCUGGGUGCAGGUUGGGGAAUAUUUUGCUCUUGCUCUUAGGGGAAGGAAAAGAGGGACCUCAUUUCUCCUACUUACUUCUAUGCACUUGAUUCACUACCCACUUGUUAUGCCUGUGGAGGCCAGAAGAGGGCAUCGGAUCCCAUUAUAGAUGGUUGUGAACUAUAGUGUGGAUGCUGGAAAUUGAACCCGGGUCCUCUGGAGAAGCAGCCAGUGUUGUUAAUCACUGAGCCAUCUCACCGACUGUCUUAAGGUUUUAUUGCUAUAAAGAGAUACCAUGACCAUGGCAACUCUUAACAAGGAAAACAUUUACUUGGGGCUGGUUUAUAGUUUCAGAGGUUUAGUCCAUUAUCAUCACGGUCGGAAACAUGCCAAUGUGUAGGCAGACGUGGACCUGGAAAUGAAGCUGAGAGUUCUGUCUUGGUUCUCAGGCAGCAGAAGCAGACUGUGCACACUGGCCACACUUCACCUUCUUACAUCUCAAAGCUCACUCCUACAGUGACUGACUUCUUCCAACAAAGCCACACCUACUCCAACAAGGCCACACCUCCUAAUAGUGCUGCUCUCUACGGGCCAGGCAUUCAAACACUUGAAUCUAUGGGAACCAUUUCUAUUCAAGCAGCCACAUCGACCCAGAUCUUUUGCCUCAUGUCUUGGUUUGUGGAUUUCAGAAGAGGAGCUCCGAGAGGUUAUGCAGUGCACCCACGGACAGCUAGGAUGGACUCAGACGAUGAGGAUAUUUGCUGAGUAGCAGUCUUCACUCUACUAAUCAGGUGAUGAGGGUGAUGUAUGUGGCCCUGUCUGCUGCCGAGCCAGGUGCUGAUGAGCUGCUUUCCCUGUGCUUGCAAAGGUGCUCCCCUCGGGCUCUGAGAGCGUUAGAACUUGGAAUGACUGGGAGGACAUGGUGGUGUGGGCCCCAUCUGGUCCCAGGUGAGCUGCUGACUACAUUGUGACAUUAGAAACUCUGAGCUUCCUCUCUCUAGAGUUUCUCUUCCAUGAAGCUGAGGCUUCAGUCUGAAUCAAUCUUCUCCUAAAAGCCUGUGUCUUCUACUUUCCCAGCCAUGUUUCAUGGACCUGUUGCCUAUAUCAGCAUUUAAACAAAUCCCCCUUAAAUAUAUUUGUUUGUUUGUUUAUAUGUGCAUGAGUGUUUGUUUAUAUGUGCAUAUAUGUUUGUGCACCCAUUGUCUGGUAUCCGCAGAGAGCACCAGGUUCCCCAGCACUGGAGUUCCAGAUAGUUGUGAGGAGAUGAACCUAGGUCCUCUGCAAGGACAGCAAAUGCUCAUGACUCCAAGCCACCUCUUUAGCCCCUGUAUUUCAGCUUUUAAAAUCUUUCCCUUGACCUAAGACUUGAGGUUUAUAAUGGCAUGAAUUUUCCUUUAUGUUGCACUAAAAUGAAUUCAGUUGAUUAACAAGAAGCUGGAUUUCUCUUCCUAACACUGUAGGUAACAAAUGCUGGGCUCACGGUUUUUGCACCCAUGAAAUCAUUUCAUGAUACUAAUAUUUUUAGGAAGCUGGUAUUUUAUUUUCUUCGUUUUAUAGAGGUAGAAACUAAGGUACAGAGAACUUAAGCAAUAUUCCCGAAGACCACACAACUAGAUCCACCUAAAAUAGUUGAGCUCUACCUGAGGACCAGGAUUCUCUGACUAAUUCAGCCAGCUCAGGCAUGGCUCUGUGUGACUACAAGGGGAACCAAGCAGGAAGGUUUUUAUGUCCCCCAAGGCAAUGGUCUCUAGGAGUAGGAGAUGGGAGUGUGAGGGUCAUACUGGUCCACAGGGUGUCUUGAAGGACAGGCACCUGGGAAGUAGGGGGAUCCAAGUUUUUCUCAGUGUUUCCAGAACUGAGAAGUACCAGAAAGGGAGGCAGGCUUAUUGAGGCUGUGGCUCAGCCCGUGGUCGGUUGGGCAUCCUAUAGGCUGAGAAGCAGAAGAAAGAAGUGGGCUGCCUUUACCCUCCUGGCCACCAGCAAGUUCACAGACAGUGCACAGACAAUGCCCAGAUGGUCAGAGGGCCAGCAAGAUGGUUCGGUGGGUAAAGAAACUUGCCGCCAAGCCUGAGUUCAAUUCCCCAGGAACCACAUAGUGGAAGAAGAGGACAUGUCCCAGAGAAUUAUCCUUUGACCUCCAUAUGUGAACUGUGGCAUGCAUGCUCACACACACACACACACACACACACACACACACACACACAGCAUAAAUAAAUGAAUGAAGAAAAAGGUCUAUUAGUGUAACAGAGUUGCCAGAAUUUGUUCAACAACACCACUUGUUGGAUGUUUAUGUUGUUUCUAGUGUCUUGCUGUUACAGAAAAUGCCAUGGAGAACCCUUAAGUGUGUAUGGUGGACCCAGGGGGCUAUUAAGUUAUGCCAACCAAUAGGUUUUCUUGCUUAGAACAUGUGAGAUUUGGAGAUGGUGACUGCCCCAGUCCUCACCACCUCAGUGGGCUCAGGGGCUUCUGGGAAUGAUCGGAUGAUUGGCAGAGACGAUUGGUUCUAUAUCUGCACAGCUUUGGGGACUUGACCUCACUGAGGCAGCAAAAGGCUCAGCGCACCUGAAGCACAGUAGAGUUGAACAGGAAGCCAGAGUUCUAGCAUACAGUGGAACUACGAGGUAGGCUAGCAGGAGCCAUCUCUCUAGGGAACAGCCUGCAGGUGGUAAGCACCCAGGAGAAGAGAGCACAGUAGGCAUUUUUUGCACACUAUACACACUAUCAACAUUCACACUUGGACCAGGAAAGAAAGUGCUGCCAGUCCCAUGGGGCUGCCGCACUGUGGUCCUUGAUGUGACCAUACCCUUAUCAAACAGUCCCUUUUCAGGCAGAGCUUGGCUCUCUACAAACCAGAAGGGGUGCGGAAGGAGGGAUGCUCCAGGUGCCAAGGGUAGGAUGUGCAGGAAGGAAAGAGUGGGUUUGGGAAGGAGCAGAGACCGUGAGAGCCGGGCCAACCGAGGAUGUGAAUAUUGUCUACAGAGCUCUGUAGCCUUCUUGGAGGAUUGCUGUCAAUAAAUCACAAUGUUGUUCAAA